CUCAUGUCUUUGCCCUUGCCCCUCUGGAAAACCACUUGAAUUUUCACUGCUUCUGUGAGCUGUCAGCUAGAUGGCUUCAAGGCCUUUGGUACAGAUCCACUAUUGAAGAACAUCAACUCAAGCAGGAGCAGAGGCAGAAACCAUGGAAGAAAACUACUUUCUUGCCUGCCCUCUGAUUCAUGUCUAAGGAAUAUAAGUGGAGUGCACUUGUCUGUGUACCCCAGUAAGAUUUCCAGAACAGUGCUUAGCUACAAGUUGAGCUCAGAAUUCUACAGGUAAAGCACUGCUGAUUGGAGGGGCAUUAAGGAAAAUGUACUGUGAAAAUGAGAUAAAACCUUAUUCUUGCUUUUGGAUGUCAUUCUUGCACAUGCACAGGUGUCCAAAGGAAGGUUUUAGAGUAAGUAAUGUGUG